GACGAACGCUGGCGGCGUGCCUAAUACAUGCAAGUUGAGCGCUGAAGGUUGGUACUUGUACCAACUGGAUGAGCAGCGAACGGGUGAGUAACGCGUGGGGAAUCUGCCUUUGAGCGGGGGACAACAUUUGGAAACGAAUGCUAAUACCGCAUAAAAACUUUAAACACAAGGUUUAAGUUUGAAAGAUGCAAUUGCAUCACUCAAAGAUGAUCCCGCGUUGUAUUAGCUAGUUGGUGAGGUAAAGGCUCACCAAGGCGAUGAUACAUAGCCGACCUGAGAGGGUGAUCGGCCACAUUGGGACUGAGACACGGCCCAAACUCCUACGGGAGGCAGCAGUAGGGAAGCCUCGGCAAUGGACGAAAGUCUGACCGAGCAACGCCGCGGGAGUGAAGAAGGUUUUCGGAUCGUAAAACUCUGUUGGUAGAGAAGAACGUUGGUGAGAGUGGAAAGCUCAUCAAGUGACGGUAACUACCCAGAAAGGGACGGCUAACUACGUG
rnacentral:rRNA from 1 species